rnacentral:tmRNA from 1 species
GGGGCUGUAAUGGUUUCGACGGGAGUCUUGAAAAUAGAGAUAGCCAUCCGCAGCAUCGGUCAACUGCGUAAUAAGGCCGUAAACUUUUAAAAAGAAAAGACAACAAUAAUUCUUUAAUGGCUGCCUAAGCGCAGCCCGUUGGCCCGAGAUUGCUCACAGUUUCGGUAACCGGCGUCGUCUUUGUGAGGCCCUUUCAUGCUUAAGCUUUGCGGCUUGAAAAGAUAAAUGAAGCUACCUGAUUCUUCAGCCUGAUUGUCGGCGGUUGAUGACGGGAAAUUUAAAUGACAAUCUGUGAUGGGAGAAGUCUUUAUCGACGGGUUUUCGGACAGGAGUUCGAUUCUCCUCAGCUCCA